GAUGAACGCUGGCGGCGUGCCUAAUACAUGCCAGUCGAGCGAACAGACGAGGAGCUUGCUCCUCUGACGUUAGCGGCGGACGGGUGAGUAACACGUGGAUAACCUACCUAUAAGACUGGGAUAACUUCGGGAAACCGGAGCUAAUACCGGAUAACAUGUUGAACCGCAUGGUUCAACAGUGAAAGACGGUUUUGCUGUCACUUAUAGAUGGAUCCGCGCCGCAUUAGCUAGUUGGUAAGGUAACGGCUUACCAAGGCAACGAUGCGUAGCCGACCUGAGAGGGUGAUCGGCCACACGGGAACUGAGACACGGUCCAGACUCCUACGGGAGGCAGCAGUAGGGAAUCUUCCGCAAUGGGCGAAAGCCUGACGGAGCAACGCCGCGUGAGUGAAGAAGGUCUUCGGAUCGUAAAACUCUGUUAUUAGGGAAGAACAAAUGUGUAAGUAACUAUGCACGUCUUGACGGUACCUAAUCAGAAAGCCACGGCUAACUACGUG
rnacentral:rRNA from 1 species